GCCAUAUUUAUCACCUGCCAAUUAGGACCAAGGAUUCCUUACUCACAUGUAGGUUGCGUCCUGGUGCCAAUCUGGCAGUCUGAGGAUGAAGGUAUUAUGCAUUCUACAGUGGACGUCUCUUGUUUUCAAAAAAUAAUCUGCAGCAUAGAGGCCCUUGCUAUGUGGAAUUGAGCUGUAAAGG